AUAAACAUUUCAAUAAUCUAGCUUUCGACCAAGAUUCAGUCAUCAUCAGGAAACAUGAUGAUGACUGAAUCUUAGUCGAAAGCUAGAAUACUGAAAUGUUUA
rnacentral:miRNA from 1 species